CGGCCAUCUCGAGUGCGCCCUUGAAAAGCGCCUGCACGCUCCGGCAGUGCUUGGCGCGCGCGGGAUGGCCGCCGCCCUGUCGAGCACUGCGGCAGAUGAGCGCCGCGGCGAGCGCGCCAUUGUCCAUCGUCACGGCCGCGUGCAGGCACGCGCGUGCGGUCGCCGGGUGGUGCACAUCAUACCAGCGCAAGAUAUCGUCGACGACAUCGGUGCGGCCCAGGCGACACGCCAGCACGAGCACGUUGCGGCAGGUGAGAGCGCGCUGCGACAGCGUCUCGGGUCCGUCGUCGACGCGACGGCCGCGACAAAAGACGGCGUCUACGCCGGGAAACCAGUCUGUGGCCGUCGCCGCGAGCCGUUCGACGAUAUCAGUAAACGCGCGGACGACCUGUCGCGCCGGCGCCGUGGCCAGCAUAGAUGCGACCUGGCCGCGGUAUGGGUCGGCGGGAAUCACGAUAGUGGUGGCGGCGUAUGUGGGCCCCUCUGGUGACGCCGUUGCCGUCGGUGGUGUUGCGUCUCUGAAUCGGCUCUCGUGUUGUUGGACGGCGAGCGCGAUCGACGCGCCGCGGCCCUCGAUCCAUGCCUGUGUCGCGCCCGGAUGACGCGCGAGUCGCGCGGCGUCGGCCUUGGCCGGGUUGGACACGCACGCGCGCAGCGCUCGCGAGACCUGGGCGAGGUGGAACCGAUAGCGGGGGUCGAGGAUCGGGUUGCCGGCGGCGUCGGCGCCGUUGGCAAUCAGUGCUAGGAUCUCGGCCGGCAGCGCGUCAAAGCGUGUUGGGCCGCAUCGGGCGCCGUCGCGCGGGUCGACGUCGGCACACAUAGGAUCAAUCACUUUUUUUUGCAGAGACUGUGUUGACUGUGUGCUCUCUUUUGUAAAGGUCCGCGCGCGCACUCGCCAAGGCACAGAAAAAAGAAACCUCCAAAGAGGGACGGACGAAUCCAACCCCAAAAAAACAAAGAUGCGCGGGUUUUGGUGCCG
rnacentral:lncRNA from 1 species